UACGUAGGAGGCUAGCGUUAUCCGGAUUUACUGGGCGUAAAGAGGGCGUAGGCGGUUCUUUAAGUUGGAUGUGAAAUCUCCUGGCUUAACUAGGAGGGGUCAUUCAAUACUGGAGAGCUGGAGAGCAGUAGAGGGAGGUGGAAUUCCCGGUGUAGUGGUGAAAUGCGUAGAUAUCGGGAGGAACACCAGUGGCGAAGGCGGCCUCCUGGGCUGUUUCUGACGCUGAGGCCCUAAAGCGUGGGGAGCGAAGAGGAUUAGAUACCCCCGUA
rnacentral:rRNA from 1 species